GUUUACGGCCAUGCCACCCUGAACAAGCCCGAUGUCUGAUCUUGGAAGCUAAACAGGGUCAGGCCUGGUUAGUACUUGGAUGGGAGACCGCCUAGGAAGACCAAGUGCUGUAGGCG
rnacentral:rRNA from 1 species